rnacentral:lncRNA from 1 species
CUGUACAAAGGCAUCAGAGGGGGACCAGGUGGCCCAGGAGAGAGAUAUCCGGGCAGACCUUGGGAGAGAAGGAGCCCUUUCCUCUGGCUUCUCAUUCCAAUUCCUUCAAGGGAGGAAUGUCCUACCAAAAGUGGGCAGGCGGCUUCCAGGACCUGGCUGUGGAAGGUCCAGACUCUAGCCUGGAGCGAUAGGGGAUGGUCUAAAACCAUGUGGACCACCUGGAAGGUACGGAGGCUUUGACAAGGUAAAUGCAAGCUAGCAGCACCCUCCCCUUGCAUCUGGAGAGACAGGGAGAAGACACAUUUCAGGAUUGAGAAGAAUCUAGAACCCGUCAAGACCAGCGGUCCACAAAGCUGGUCUCUGCACGG